rnacentral:lncRNA from 1 species
UUGGACAGUUAGUGCAUCUUUGCUCAACAACGUGCAUGCAUUUUAAUUACACAGUUUUCCUCUUUUGCUGCCUAAUAGCUAUAUGAUAUGCUUUAAUUUAAUUACCAAAUGAUGAGAACUUUGCUCUCCUGAGUUGUUUCCCUAUUGUCUCCUAUGAUUAUUAGACAAUUAGUCUUUUAUUUGUAGACUACUUGCCACAGUCUUUUCUUAGAGACUCUGGGGCACCUGGACUUGAAGAAAGAGCUGACUGGUUAUUUAAACAUUUACAUUAGCUGGAAUUGACAGUCAUAUCUCUUAACACUAUGACAGUGUGAUGGAAGUGAUAAGUAGCUGAAGUAAGGAAACUUGGGCCACCCACCUAUGAGCAAUGAGAAUGAAGCCCAAAGUACGCACCAUUGGCCAAAAUAAGAGAAAGUUUGUCAUCUUUCAGGUGGUGCCUUGCUGGAGUCCUUCCUAAGGAUUGCCAGUGUAGAACUAGAGAAGG